UGAAUUAAAAUUUUCUUAAAAUCUCGAUUUAUAGGGGGUUUUUUGAAGUGAUUUGAACGUUUAAGAAUAGUGUAUGGUGGCCCCGAAUGGACUUGAACCAUCGACUUCCACCA
rnacentral:antisense_RNA from 1 species